UACGUAGGGUGCGAGCGUUGUCCGGAAUUAUUGGGCGUAAAGAGCUCGUAGGCGGUGUGUCACGUCGGCCGUGAAAACCUGCAGCUUAACUGUGGGCGUGCGGUCGAUACGGGCAUCACUGGAGUUCGGCAGGGGAGACUGGAAUUCCAGGUGUAGCGGUGAAAUGCGUAGAUAUCUGGAGGAAUACCGGUGGCGAAGGCGGCAUCCUGGACCAUAACUGACGCUGAGGCGCGAAAGCUAGGGGAGCAAACGGG
rnacentral:rRNA from 1 species